rnacentral:rRNA from 1 species
AGAUUGAACGCUGGCGGCAGGCCUAACACAUGCAAGUCGAGCGGUAGAGAGGUGCUUGCAUCUCUUGAGAGCGGCGGACGGGUGAGUAAUGCCUAGGAAUCUGCCUAGUGGUGGGGGAUAACGUUCGGAAACGGACGCUAAUACCGCAUACGUCCUACGGGAGAAAGCGGGGGACCUUCGGGCCUCGCGCCAUUAGAUGAGCCUAGGUCGGAUUAGCUAGUUGGUGAGGUAAUGGCUCACCAAGGCGACGAUCCGUAACUGGUCUGAGAGGAUGAUCAGUCACACUGGAACUGAGACACGGUCCAGACUCCUACGGGAGGCAGCAGUGGGGAAUAUUGGACAAUGGGCGAAAGCCUGAUCCAGCCAAUGCCGCGUGUGUGAAGAAGGUCUUCGGAUUGUAAAAGCAACGUUUUAAGUGGGUAAGGAAGGGUUUAGUAAACCUAAGUACGUUGACAACUUUGACGUUACGACAGAAUAAGCACCGGACUAACUUCGUACGCCAG